rnacentral:lncRNA from 1 species
UACAUGGGCUGCAUCGAGGUCCUCCGCUCCAUGCGCUCCCUGGACUUUAACACACGCACGCAGGUGACCAGGGAAAGCCAUCAACCGGCUCCACGAGGCCGUGCCUGGCGUCCGGGGAUCCUGGAAGAAAAAGGCCCCCAACAAGGCCCUGGCGUCUGUCCUGGGCAAGAGCAACCUUCGCUUCGCCGGCAUGAGCAUCUCCAUCCACAUCUCCACCGACGGCCUUCAGCCUCUCCGUGCCCGCCACGCGCCAGGUCAUCGCCAACCACCACAUGCCGUCCAUCUCCUUUGCAUCGGGCGGAGACACGGACAUGACGGAUUACGUGGCCUACGUCGCCAAGGACCCCAUCAACCAGAGAGCCUGCCACAUCCUGGAGUGCUGUGAAGGCCUGGCCCAGAGCGUCAUCAGCACCGUCGGCCAAGCCUUCGAGCUGCGCUUCAAGCAGUACCUGCACAGCCCACCCAAGGUGGCACUGCCCCCAGAAAGGUAACAGACCCGCCUCCCCCAUGCCCUGGGGACGCCCCCAGCGACCUGCCCGGGUGCAGAGCCGGCUCCACCUCCUGCAGGCCUCGGCCUCCAUCCUGCCCUUGUCCCUCCCUCCCUGUCCCCGAGAAUGUGGCUCGGCCAGAGGAUCCUGUUUCCUCGGCUGUAACACCCGGGUGAACGCAUCCCCGCCCCCAGGACUGGGGAGGACUGAGCGAGCUGACUCCCCGGUGUGCCCGAGGCUGUCAGCCCUGCCGCUAUAACCAACAUCCCUCCUCCAGACGCACGGCCGGCUCAACGGCCUCUGUCUCACCGCAGAAGAUGUGUGUGGGGGGCGUGUCUGUGUGCUGGUAACGUUAUUCAUAGACGUUGAAGUGUGAAUGUCACGUGUCGCAAAAUAUGAUUCUCUGGAUGUUUCUCAAACACUUAACUUUGAUGAUUUAGAGGCUGAACGCCCAUUCUUAGCUCGUGGGACACACAGAUCUAGGCAGUGAGCUGGAUUUGGCCCUGGGCUGGGGUUUGCCAGCCGGCCUUGGAGAAGGAGGCAUUUAAGUCUAUUCAUCAUUAGAAAGUCACGUUCCUCCAGCGGUGGGAGGGCAGGUGCAGGCCCGUGAGCUCCCAGCCCUGCUGGUCACGCGUGCUCACGCUCACCCCUUUGUGCACAGGGACGGCG